GAGUAACACGUGGGUAACCUGCCCAUAAGACUGGGAUAACUCCGGGAAACCGGGGCUAAUACCGGAUAACAUUUUGAACUGCAUGGUUCGAAAUUGAAAGGCGGCUUCGGCUGUCACUUAUGGAUGGACCCGCGUCGCAUUAGCUAGUUGGUGAGGUAACGGCUCACCAAGGCAACGAUGCGUAGCCGACCUGAGAGGGUGAUCGGCCACACUGGGACUGAGACACGGCCCAAACUCCUACGGGAGGCAGCAGUAGGGAAUCUUCCGCAAUGGACGAAAGUCUGACGGAGCAACGCCGCGUGAGUGAUGAAGGCUUUCGGGUCGUAAAACUCUGUUGUUAGGGAAGAACAAGUGCUAGUUGAAUAAGCUGGCACCUUGACGGUACCUAACCAGAAAGCCACGGCUAACUACGUGCCAGCAGCCGCGGUAAUACGUAGGUGGCAAGCGUUAUCCGGAAUUAUUGGGCGUAAAGCGCGCGCAGGUGGUUUCUUAAGUCUGAUGUGAAAGCCCACGGCUCAACCGUGGAGGGUCAUUGGAAACUGGGAGACUUGAGUGCAGAA
rnacentral:rRNA from 1 species